rnacentral:rRNA from 1 species
ACUCCUACGGGAGGCAGCAGUGGGGAAUAUUGGACAAUGGGCGGAAGCCUGAUCCAGCAACGCCGCGUGAGGGAUGACGGCCUUCGGGUUGUAAACCUCUUUCAGUACCGACGAAGCGCCCGUUGUGGGUGGUGACGGUAGGUACAGAAGAAGCACCGGCCAACUACGUGCCAGCAGCCGCGGUAAUACGUAGGGUGCGAGCGUUGUCCGGAAUUAUUGGGCGUAAAGGGCUCGUAGGCGGUUUGUCGCGUCGGGAGUGAAAACACCGGGCUUAACUCGGUGCCUGCUUUCGAUACGGGCAGACUAGAGGUAUGCAGGGGAGAACGGAAUUCCUGGUGUAGCGGUGAAAUGCGCAGAUAUCAGGAGGAACACCGGUGGCGAAGGCGGUUCUCUGGGCAUUACCUGACGCUGAGGAGCGAAAGUGUGGGGAGCGAACAGGAUUAGAUACCCUGGUAGUCCACACCGUAAACGUUGGGCGCUAGGUGUGGGGCCUAUUCCAUGGGUUCCGUGCCGCAGCUAAC